rnacentral:lncRNA from 1 species
AGGUACAAUUCAGUCAACGGUCUGGCACAGUCACUGUGUUCCAGGACAGGCCGGCUGUCUCAGGGCAUCUUGGGGAUAUGAAGGCCACUGAGAAGAAGCCAUGACAGUCCCUUGGCCUGGAGGAUCCUAGGAAUGCCGUGGCUCUGCUGAUUUGUUCUUUGCCCUGCUUGGAGUGUCCCCGGCUCAGGUCCCCAGGCAGGACAGCCUGAUGUCAGCCAGGGAAGUCCACACCCUCCCCACACCCUCUCGUCUCACCUUCUUCACCCCAAGCUUUUGUGCAUACUUUCUUUGGUUCCAGCCUGCCAGGGUCUUGGACUUAAAGGCCUCCAUCCAUUUGCUACAAUGGACUAUAAAUGGUCUUGUGUACACAGUAUCCUGGACUAGAAGUUGGAAUAAGUUGUCUCAGUCUCCCAACACUGGCUUACAGUUGUUCUAGGUACAGAGGUUAUGGGCACUGGACACUGAGCCUUGGCAGGAAAGCAAGAGAUCAUGACAAGAUGAAGUGGGCUCUUACAGCAUGCAGAGGAUUCUACCCAGCUUCCCUGCCCUACCCUGCCAUUCAGAGGACCCAGCACACACUUGGGGCUACAUCAGAUAACCAGGGGUUCCAGGACUAUGAAAGAUACACAUGGUCCUAGUGAACGCCAUGCCCAAUGGUGGCCUGGCUGUCGUGUGGUAUCUCACAUGAGUGAUCCUAUGAAACCCACCUUCAAUGUAUCCUCAGACGAGGAAGUGUGUAACUCCGUGAAGGUCAGGGGGCAGGGAUCAGAUCUGUCUCUGGCAUACCAAAAGUACAACCCAGAGACUCCAGACAGCCUGGGCCGUGGAGACCCAAAUAAGAGCCACAGAAGCCCGCUCUCCGAAGGACCUUGGCCUACACUGAAGUCUGCCUAUGGCCUGUGUGAGGAAACAAGGUCUGUAUGUCUGUGUGCAUCUACGGAGGAGGCUGGAGAUUCUACACACCCUCCUUUCCCGCUCCCAUCACCGACGCCCUGUAAACUAAAGCACUCAGUCCCCUUGUGAAGGCCAACAGGAGACCCCAUGACAGCUGUGCAUGGGCAAUGUCCUCAGCUCACCGGGGCUGCCUGAAAAAGCAAGGCAGAUCUUGGGGUUGAGCACCUUCAAGGGUCACUGGUGGCUCGGGUGUGGAGAUCUUUCUCCCCAGGCCAGGUGGCAGAUGACAGGAGAGAGAAGCAACCUUCACCAAGAGUGCCCUAGCCAGGCAGUUCAGCAACCCAGGUAAGGAGUUUGGAUGGCCAAAAGAUUGUCAUUUGGCAGCAGGGAAAGAAGUGGGGUGGGGAAGCUCAUUGUGUAGGCUGCGGGACUGGGGUGGCCAUCUUGGGAAGUGUCCCAGGGGUGGCUUCUAUGUUGGGGAGCUUCCUAAGUAGGCAGGCAUCUUUGAGUCCUGACCAGCACCCACCUUUCACUAUUAGUCAUGACCUAGAGUAGCAUCCCUGUGCCCUUCAUGGACAAACCAGAGCUUCUGCUGUGAUGUACUUCAAGACAGAGAAGCAACACUCUCCAGUCGUUGGCAGAGGAGCUGGUCCUGAUAACCCCCAGUACCAGACACAGGCUCCUUCUCCUGGAGCAGUGUCCCCAGCCUGGGUGGGAGUACUGCCCAGGACACAUCUCAUCACCUGCUCACUCAUGGAGAAAGAAACUUUGUUUCUCAGAGUGUCUUCUUGAGACUUCCAUGCUUAUGAGUCUGUAGCAGGCUGGCCAGGUGUCUAGGCCAAGUGAGGGGCCAGAAUGCCCAAGUCAGUACACACAAGAGACUAUCACUGGCUGAGGGUGGAGGACUUAGGGAAGGGACAAAGGCAUUCAUGAGAUCUGCUUUCUCAACAAAUCAGUGUGUUGGGCACAGAUGAGUGUCCUCAGAGGUCCCUCCCAAUGCCCCACUCUAACACCAACAUAGAACUACAUUGGGCGUGGUUUCCAGCAUGGAGAAGGCAGGGAGGCCUGGCCACCAUAGCUUCAAACAGCUACCGUGUUCCUCCAGAUCCUUACUGCCCACUUUCAGUAAUGUUUGGGGAGUUUUCAGUAAUGCUCCACCUGCUCCUUGUAUUGGGUCCAGCCACCUGCGGGGUCAGUUGGCUCAUGAUGCCUCUAUGCUGAGUCUUCACCCAAAGAGCUCCCUGUUUUUCUCUACAGCUCCCCAGGCACAAUAAACACUUUGGUGAGGCUGACAGAAGCAGUGUUUCAUAGGGGAGUCAGAGAGUGGGUGGUGGGUGGCAAGGCCUGUCUAAGUCUGGAAACCACAUAGGCUGGGUCCUUUAGGGCAGUACCUUCAGGGAAAGGACUAUACCUUAGUUCUUCGUGGGAAGACCCAAGGUGCCUAAAGGCCCUUCUUGGACCCUGUAGUCCCCAGCAUCUAGCCUAAGAGUAUGAUACGGCUGGUUUAGCUGCCCAGAAGCUCCCGCUUUGGAACAGCAAUUACAUGAGGCAAGCCACAUUCCACCCUGUUCCAUGUGUGCCCUGGGUCCCGGGAGCCACUGUAGACAGAUUCAGCUUUCAAGUACAUCAAAUAGAAGGUCACUGAGAUGCCUCUAAAGGUAAAGGUACUUGCUACUAAGGCUUAUGACCUGAGUUUGAUCCCUGGGACCUAAGGAUGGAAGAAGAAAACUAACUGCCCUUUGACUUCUGACCUCUGUACCAUGACACACAUACACCCACUCACAAUAAAAUGAAUAGAAAUGCUUAAUAAUAAUAAUAAUAAUAAUAAUAAUAAUAAACUGAGGGAGGUGCUCACAUUGGCUCUGGUCUCUACUUGCACAUAUGUGUGUACAUGUGAAUAUGUAGAACACACACACAGGAAGGUAAGUGUAUUAUUUCUGUGUUUAUACUGGACACAGUAUAACUUGUUUGGCUUUUGUGUGUGUGCUAGGACCCUGUUGUGUACUCCUGCUGAGCAGGUACCUGGGAUCCUUGGGCUUCAGCCUUUCCAUCUGGAUUUACAAGUGUGUUCCACCACGCCCUGAAGUACCAAUGUUUGAAGAGACAAAAUUGUCCCGAAAUGUUUGAGGGUAUAGUUCAGUGACACCUGUAAUGUGAAUAUUAUGCAAAAAUUAAUAAAAUAAAAUAGAAUUUAAU